rnacentral:rRNA from 1 species
UACGGGGGGGGUAAGCGUUGUUCGGAAUUACUGGGCGUAAAGGGCUCGUAGGCGGCCAACUAAGUCGGACGUGAAAUCCCUCAGCUUAACUGGGGAACUGCGUCCGAUACUGGAUGGCUUGGAUUUGGGAGAGGGAUGCGGAAUUCCAGGUGUAGCGGUGAAAUGCGCAGAUAUCAGGAGGAACACCGGUGGCGAAGGCGGGUCUCUGGGCAAUAACUGACGCUGAGGAGCGAAAGCGUGGGGAGCGAACAGG